AGCGGCGGACGGGUGAGUAACGCGUGGGCAACCUGCCCUGUACACACGGAUAACAUACCGAAAGGUAUGCUAAUACGAGAUAAUAUGCUUUUAUCGCAUGGUAGAAGUAUCAAAGCUUUUGCGGUACAGGAUGGACCCGCGUCUGAUUAGCUAGUUGGCAAGGUAACGGCUUACCAAGGCGACGAUCAGUAGCCGACCUGAGAGGGUGAUCGGCCACAUUGGAACUGAGACACGGUCCAAACUCCUACGGGAGGCAGCAGUGGGGAAUAUUGCACAAUGGGCGAAAGCCUGAUGCAGCAACGCCGCGUGAGCGAUGAAGGCCUUCGGGUCGUAAAGCUCUGUCCUCAAGGAAGAUAAUGACGGUACUUGAGGAGGAAGCCCCGGCUAACUACGUGCCAGCAGCCGCGGUAAUACGUAGGGGGCUAGCGUUAUCCGGAAUUACUGGGCGUAAAGGGUGCGUAGGUGGUUUCUUAAGUCAGAGGUGAAAGGCUACGGCUCAACCGUAGUAAGCCUUUGAAACUGGGAAACUUGAGUGCAGGAGAGGAGAGUGGAAUUCCUAGUGUAGCGGUGAAAUGCGUAGAUAUUAGGAGGAACACCAGUUGCGAAGGCGGCUCUCUGGACUGUAACUGACACUGAGGCACGAAAGCGUGGGGAGCAAACAGGAUUAGAUACCCUGGUAGUCCACGCCGUAAACGAUGAGUACUAGCUGU
rnacentral:rRNA from 1 species